rnacentral:sRNA from 1 species
UUCUAAACCCGACAGCAGCGAAAAUACUUUUGAUUAAACCUAUAAGGUUUUAAAAACCUUUUAGGUUUGAAAAAGAUUGCAGCGAAUGGCGGGAACAAAC